AGAUUAUGAUAGAGGAUUGCACCUUUUUUGUUUAUUGUGUUCAGAGGAUGAUAAGAAUUCUGUGCAUUUUCAUGUACAUAUAAGUAUUUUUAGGAUUUAGUUGCAGUGUAUACUAUUAAUUAAAAUAUGUACAGCCAUUAAGAUAAAUAAAUAUAGUUACCAAUCAGACAUAGCUGAUAGAGUGUAUUACUAACCUUUAUGUUUUAAAAUAUCUGAUUCAUUAAAAAUUUGCUAAUUUU
rnacentral:misc_RNA from 1 species